rnacentral:rRNA from 1 species
GAAUAUUGGACAAUGGGCGGGAGCCUGACCCAGCCAUGCCGCGUGCAGGAAGACUGCCCUAUGGGUUGUAAACUGCUUUUAUACGGGAAGAAACACCCCCUUGCGAGGGGGCUUGACGGUACCGUAGGAAUAAGGAUCGGCUAACUCCGUGCCAGCAGCCGCGGUAAUACGGAGGAUCCGAGCGUUAUCCGGAAUCAUUGGGUUUAAAGGGUCCGUGGGUGGACGGUUAAGUCAGGGGUGAAAUCCCGCAGCUCAACUGUGGAAUUGCCCUUGAUACUGGCCGUCUUGAGUCAUUGUGAAGUGGUUGGAAUAUGUAGUGUAGCGGUGAAAUGCAUAGAUAUUACAUAGAACACCGAUUGCGAAGGCAGAUCACUAACAAUGCACUGACACUGAUGGACGAAAGCGUGGGGAGCGAACAGG